rnacentral:rRNA from 1 species
UACAGAGGGUGCAAGCGUUAAUCGGAAUUACUGGGCGUAAAGCGUGCGUAGACGGUUAUUUAAGUCGGGUGUGAAAGCCCCGGGCUCAACCUGGGAAUGGCGAUGGAUACUGGCUCGCUAGAGUGCGGUAGAGGAGAGUGGAAUUCCCGGUGUAGCAGUGAAAUGCGUAGAGAUCGGGAGGAACAUCAGUUGCGAAGGCGGCUCUCUGGACCAGCACUGACACUGAGGCACGAAAGCGUGGGGAGCAAACAGG